rnacentral:rRNA from 1 species
AUUGAACGCUGGCGGCAGGCUUAACACAUGCAAGUCGAGCGGGGGAAGGUAGCUUGCUACCGGACCUAGCGGCGGACGGGUGAGUAAUGCUUAGGAAUCUGCCUAUUAGUGGGGGACAACAUCUCGAAAGGGAUGCUAAUACCGCAUACGUCCUACGGGAGAAAGCAGGGGAUCUUCGGACCUUGCGCUAAUAGAUGAGCCUAAGUCGGAUUAGCUAGUUGGUGGGGUAAAGGCCUACCAAGGCGACGAUCGGUAGCGGGUCUGAGAGGAUGAUCCGCCACACUGGGACUGUGACACGGCCCAGACUCCUACGGGAGGCAGCAGUGGGGAAUAUUGGACAAAGGGGGGAACCCUGAUCCAGCCAUGCCGCGUGUGUGAAGAAGGCCUUAUGGUUGUAAAGCACUUUAAGCGAGGAGGAGGCUACUCUAGUUAAUACCUAGGGAUAGUGGACGUUACUCGCAGAGUAAGCACCGGCUAACUCUGUGCCAGCAGCCGCAGUAA